GGAUGUGAGGGCAAUCUGGCUGCGACAUUUGUCAGCCCAUUGCUUGCUGGAGUUGACUUGACUGAUAGGUAGGUGUCCCCUUCCUCCCUCCAUAUGAGUCCCUCCUGAAGCUGAGCACUUAAUCGAAGAUGACUACCUUCCCAAAAUAGAUGGACUACUUUGAUUGAGUUGUGCUCCCUUGCUAGAAUUUCCUAACAAGCUCCCAAGUGCACACGCAAGUGGUAGCAGCAUAAUACAAAAAACAAGAAACAUCUCUAUAUAGUAAGUCCUUUUCAUCUCUAAAUUUAU
ensembl:misc_RNA 7SK 7SK RNA